rnacentral:rRNA from 1 species
GACGAACGCUGGCGGCGUGCUUAACACAUGCAAGUCGAACGGAAAGGCCCUGCUUGCAGGGUGCUCGAGUGGCGAACGGGUGAGUAACACGUGGGUGAUCUGCCCCUUACUUUGGGAUAAGCCUGGGAAACUGGGUCUAAUACUGGAUAGGACCAUGCUGUAGGUGGUGUGGUGGAAAGAUUAGUUUCGGUAAGGGAUGAGCUCGCGGCCUAUCAGCUUGUUGGUGGGGUAAUGGCCUACCAAGGCGUCGACGGGUAGCCGGCCUGAGAGGGUGGACGGCCACAUUGGGACUGAGAUACGGCCCAGGCUCCUACGGGAGGCAGCAGUGGGGAAUAUUGCACAAUGGGCGCAAGCCUGAUGCAGCGACGCCGCGUGGGGGAUGACGGCCUUCGGGUUGUAAACUCCUUUCAGCCAUGACGAAGCCCUUGUGGUGACGGUAGUGGUAGAAGAAGCACCGGCUAACUACGUG